rnacentral:misc_RNA from 1 species
CUCAACACCUCCACUGCUCUCGCCUCCUUAGCUAGCCCUUUAAAUCUUAAGCUCCCAUGACUCAAUGCCAACAAUGCCGCCACGCAAUACUCCUGAGUUGCUUCCGAGUCUACCCGCUCACUUCCCUCGCUCAACAUCCCCACCAAUAUUGCCACCGCAUUUCCAUCCAGCAUUGCCGAUCUCCCUUCCUUGCCAGCAGCUAAAUUGCAUAAAAUUAGCAACAGC